CAGCCGCCGCGGUAGUACGUAGGUGGCAAGCGUUGUCCGGAAUUAUUGGGCGUAAAGGGUGCGUAGGCGGGAUCUUAAGUCAGGGGUGAAAUCCCGAGGCUCAGCCUCGGAACUGCCUUUGAUACUGGGGUCCUUGAGUCCGGAAGAGGUGAGUGGAACUGCGAGUGUAGAGGUGAAAUUCGUAGAUAUUCGCAAGAACACCGGUGGCGAAGGCGGCUCACUGGUCCGGAACUGACGCUGAGGCACGACAGCGUGGGGAGCAAACAGGAUUAGAUACCCGAGUAGUCCCUGUCUCUUAUAC
rnacentral:rRNA from 1 species